GGGAAUGUGGCUCAUUGUUAGAGUGCUUGCCUAGCAUGCAUGAAGCCCCAGGUUCAAUUCCUCAGUACCA
rnacentral:tRNA from 1 species